rnacentral:rRNA from 1 species
GAUGAACGCUGGCGGCGUGCCUAAUACAUGCAAGUCGAGCGGACGGACGAGAAGCUUGCUUCUCUGAUGUUAGCGGCGGACGGGUGUGUAACACGUGGAUAACCUACCUAUAAGACUGGGAUAACUUCGGGACACCGGAGCUAAUACCGGAUAAUAUUUUGAACCGCAUGGUUCAAAAGUGAAAGACGGUCUUGCUGUCACUUAUAGAUGGAUCCCCGCUGCAUUAGCUAGUUGGUAAGGUAACGGCUUACCAAGGCAACGAUGCGUAGCCGACGUGAGAGGGUGAUCGGCGACACUGGAAGUGAAACACGGUCCAGACUCCUACGAGAGGCAGCAGAAGGGAAUCUUACGCAAUGGGCGGAAGCCUUACGGAGUAACGCCGCGUGAGUGAUGAAGGUCUUCGGAUCGUAAAACUCUGUUAUUAGGGAAGAACAUAUGUGUAAGUAACUGUGCACAGAUUGACGGUACCUAGUCAGAAAGCAACGGCUAACUACGUG